UACGGAGGGUGCAAGCGUUAAUCGGAAUUACUGGGCGUAAAGCGCACGCAGGCGGUCUGUCAAGUCGGGUGUGAAAUCCCCGGGCUUAACCUGGGAACUGCAUUCGAAACUGCCAGACUAGAGUCUUGUAGAGGGGAGUAGAAUUCCCGGUGUAGCGGUGAAAUGCGUAGAGAUCUGGAGGAAUACCGAUGGCGAAGGCGGCUCCCUGGACAAAGACUGACGCUCAGGUGCGAAAGCGUGGGGAGCAAACAGG
rnacentral:rRNA from 1 species